CUCUUUUCUAAAGGGGCCAAGACUGCUAAUUUAUAGACAAUCUGAAAGUGUUCAGAAGUUCCAUACAUCCUCAUGCUCUAUGCCUAAAUGUACAUUGAUAAUUCAAUCAGUUUCCGCUAUCAAAUUGAGUUAUUACAAGAUAAACACCAACAGAAGUUCCGCACAUGUCACCAACAGCAACACCUUCUCAGCCUUGAAAAACAACUAUGAAGAGUGUUCUUACGAUUAAACCAUAUAUAUGUAUGCAAGCACUGGCUCAAUAACUUCACUGAUAUGCAAGGCAGCUCGUCAACAUGUAAAACCUGCAGUGCAUGACAAGCCUCUAAAAUCCAAACGUUAUGAAACCAAUUUAUAUAUUUACUAAGCUUUUCAGAAUACUCAUUUUACUAAAAAUGUGAAGAAAAUGAAAAAUGGAUAAAAUUUUGACUGACAUUCACCACGUCCAGUUUUCAGCAAUAACAGUGAAACAAAAGAUGUUGGUCUGCAUCUGCAGCUAAAGUGCUGCACACACAUACAACAAAACAAUUAGUAUGUUGCAUCUUCCGGCAUCAUUAGUAAGCAGAGCAAAAGGAAUAGACUAAGCAAGUCUUCUUUACCAUCCAAGGUUAUCCAUUUUCAUAAUGAGGUUACCGACUUUGUACAUUCGACUGAAUUGUUCUGCAAAACAUGAAGGCCGUAUAUUUCAUCAGCAUGGAUAAUUGCUAUGAAAGAAAGAUAAUGUACACUCAGUUCCAUUGUUCCGCUAGUAGUAAUGGUAUCUUAAGUGAUAGGAGUUUGAUUAUGUUUUCCUUAGAAUGCAUGUCGUUAUGGUCUUAGAUUUGCUGCACUCCUUCCAUGCAAGUUGUAGAAAUAUAAAAUGGCAUGGGAUUCUAGGAAAACAAAGUGGGUGUGGAACACACUGACUAUAAACUCAUACACAUAUGCUCAGUAAAAUUAUAGAAAACAAAUAAAUGUUGUAUUAUCUAUAUAUGCUUAGUUAGACAUAUAAGAGAUUAAGUUGUUCACUUUGUUUUGUUGUAUCAGUUGUCUCCUUAUGCUGGGCUCAUGGACCUGUGCAAUGAAGACAGAGUAUAAGUACAACCUUUCAUUACUUAUACAUGGUAAUAAGGAGCAGUCAAUAGCAAUGAUUCACUCAGAAAGCGUUCUGACGCUGAAUAUAUGUAUGAUAACUGAAUAAUUGGUUUCAAGCCUCUUGAUAUGGGAGACGCUAUCAACAGGCACCUGUGGGUUACAAUUAUAUAAGGAUAUUAGAUGUGAUUUAAAACAAAAAUAUAUUGAAUAGUAAAGUACAUAAGCUGGAAAUAUAUGUACAUGAUUAGCCGAAGUGAUUUGAAAUAUGUAACAACCAAUAGUCUGCAACAACACUAACAAGCUGGAAUCAGAAAAGAAUUUAAAUAUAGCGGAAACAAAUAAAUGUAGUGUGGUUUUAAUUAUAGUUUUGAUACUGCCAAAGAUUAUUAUAACUAUCUUAUCCCGGUAAUUUUAAAGAACCAUGCUGCUAGUUCUUUAUGAAGGGCCUCCAAUCAGAAGAACUGCUACCAGACCCUUGUAAAGACCUAUGCUCAAGACCAUCACAAACAUCUAAAACUUUUUACUUAGAUUACAGGGACUACCAUAAAAAAUGCUUGAGAACCUCGAGAUUCAACCUGACAUCAUCCAAGCUUCUGAUUUGGUUGUACAAAAGUCAAAUGAAAUGAGCUAAAGAAGAAACUGAGCAAAGAUUUAAAUUGUAACAACUCCUUAUGGUUCUCCCCUUUCUGAACUAAACUAACCAGCUAUGCACUGUAAUUACUCCAAAAUAUGCAUGCCAUUCUUUAUACAUGAUACUAAAAAAGCCUGUAGAAAUAGAACAGUCUUGAUACUCUAGAUUUCUAAACAAUCAUAAAGGGAAGAUUUUUAAACACACAUACUAUAUUUAUUCUAAGCUCACACUGAAAUGGUGGUGGUUCUUGAAAUUGCUUGUAAUCUGGGGGUUGAAGACAGCAACAUAGAUUCAUACCAUUUCAGAAUUAUAUGUGUGCUUAGAAGCUGCGCUUCUAAAUAAUACAAUUGACAAGAACAUCGAAUUGGGUGCACUUACAGUUGGUUAAUUGAUUGUAUUUGGACAGCAGCAGGAAAAAGCUUGCACUCUUCUGAAAUUUUUUAUGCCUGUUUCUCUGCAAUGGAAUCUACAAGUUGUACACCCUUUUCAAACUGCUCAUCAACACUACCAGGGAGCAAUUUGUCAGGUAAUCUAUGUUUCGAAUGCCCCAAUAUACUGAGGUUAAAACAUCAUCUAAUACUUUCUGUACAAUAAAGUACAUUCUGCAUCAAAUAAUCCUUUCUGCUUACAGUGCUGGAAACUGUUCAAGUGAAAAUAGCUACCGAUUAUCAGUGUUAUACCAACCUUCACUCUGGGUGGUCGACAUAGCAGCUAGCUCCCACCAAGUUAAUAAUUAGACGAAGAAGGUCCACCCGCCUACCUCUGCCAUGAAACAUCAUAAAAGAGGAUGCAUGCCAAAUCUGAGUUUGCAAUUCUCAUCACACACCCAGAUAUCUGAUGUAUGUCUAACAAAAUCUAACACUCAACAAAUGUAAGCCUCAAAGAACAAAGAGAUGCAUUCCUCUCACCUGAAUCGUGAUGCGUGAUACCGAGGAAAAAUGCGAUCUCCGCCAAGUCUGCACUCUGCAGAACCCCAACCAUCGGCACCAGGUAAAAGCAAGCGUUCCUAUUUCAGUGCGGCGAAAAGGGUGGACCAGGAACCUUAUGUUGGAUCCUAAUGUUAUCCUCGUCGCGGUCGAGGCUGUCCCCCUGCCAGUCUUUGCGUGAACGGCGAUCUGUUGCAAAGCAGUCUCUGGACCACGGCAGCAACAUGUCAGCAAACAAAACCCUUAAUUCAGUAACUCUAUGAGCCCCAAAAUCUGUCUCAGAACGCUCAACGGAGGACGGGCGGGACGUAUAUGCCAGGGUGGGCGAAGGGCGUACGUACCGAAAGAAGACACUCUAGGAUGCGGUAGCGCUCGACGCCGGCGAAGAGGAGGGACUGCGUGGGCGCCCUGGCGCGCGGAUAGGCGAGCACCGCCAGCACGUGCGGAUCUCAAACCGGCAGGGAGCAGUGGGCUCCGCGCCGCCGCGACGCGGGCUCGCGCGCGACCUCGUUCGCCGGAGGCCGCCAUGCGUGCACUCACGUCGUGCUUAGGAAGGAGCAGGUGCGACCGGAGAGGCGAGGGGAGCUGGUACCGCCGCACCGGGGGGUCGCACGCGGCCCCGUUUGCCGGCGGCCACCCCGCGCGCGCCCACUUCGUGCUCUGGGAGAAGACCGGUGCAGCUGGAGAGGCAAGGGAUGCGGGCGCCGCCGCACCGGGGGAUCGCGCGCGGCCUCCUUCGCCGGUGGCCGCCUCACGCACGUUCACUUUGCUUGGAGGAGAUUUCUGCUGCCAAAGAGGUUAGCGCUAAAU
rnacentral:rRNA from 1 species